UACCAUAUCUAGCGGAGAGGAUAACCCCACCAGGAUCAAAAAUAAAAAAACUUGUCGCUAAUUUACAAUAUAAAAAUAAUUAUGUUGUACAUUACAUGGCAUUAAUACAGGCCAUAAAAGCUGGGUUAAUUUUGAAAAAGGUUCAUAGAGUUUUAAAAUUUAACCAAUCACCUUGGCUUGCCAAGUAUAUCGAAUUGAACACUAAUAUGAGGAAAAAUGCAGAAAAUGAUUUUGAAAAAGUUCUUCAAAUUAAUGAAUAAUGCAGUAUUUGGAAAAACAAUGGAGAAUGUUAGGAACCGAAUAAACAUGAAGUUAGUGUCAGACGAUAAAAAGUGUGCCAAGUUGAUUAAUAAAAUUACAUUUAAAAAUAUCACAAUAUAUAACAACAACCUUGCAGCAGUACAUUUGAAUAACGAUGAA